AUGACAUUUUUUUCCAAAAUUAGACCCAUUGGUGAAUCACUGAGUUCUCCAGGGUCCUCUUCAGACAGCCCCAGUUCCAGGCAGUUCCCUGUGGGCGGAGGGACAGUUGAGCUGCUGGAAGAAUCAAAGCUGAAGAAAGAGUUUCAAUGCCUGAUACCGUUCAAAUGUUCUGUGACCAAGUUUCUUUACCUGGGGACUCCCAUAACACGAAGAUUUGGGCAGCAGCUCCUGGUCUUCCAAAUGGAAUUCUGUUAGGUGACUCAGGACAACUCAGGGCCUGUGGGGACUUAGGUCAAUGGCCCUCCCUGUGGAGGACGCGCUAUCACUACCUAACAUCAACCUAUAGCCUUUGAACAACAUCCUAUGGUUUACAGGGGCUUGGACGUGCGUUGGUUUAUCUGUCUGCCUACGAGAUAUCUACAGUUAAGCUUAUUCCAGUCAUUUAUAUAAAGAGGGGAGUAGUUUGGAAUUCUAUUUCUCUAUUUGCAUGGGUGAAUAAGAAACAAAAUUCGUUCGAACGAAUUUUGAGACGAAGAAGGAGACGUUUACAUACCAAGAGAAACUGAAAGAAGAGCAUUGAGCCGCCCCAUGUCCCCCAGAACACCUGCCAACAAUAGGCAGAGUGUCCAGCUGCCCAGACACUGUGUCCAGGGGCGGUGCCUGUCCUGUUCACAAUGGCCUCGCCUGAAAACCGCAGUUAAAAUGCAAAUGGGGGGGACAGACCCGAGCCUCAAAGCCUCACAUCUCUGAGUCUAAAAGACAUCCUGUCAGAGGCUUCUGUUCCGAUUGCAAAUGCCCCCCUUUUGUUCCUCAAGGCCCGUGAGACAGCUGUAAGUAAUUCCUCCCCGGACAAAUUGGCUUUCCUCUUCCCACCACAAAAGCCCACGUCGGGUUUAAAGAGCAAAGCUCAGGUUUUGUUCAAGGCCCUUAACGAAGGUUAAGGUUAACCAGCGGCACAAGGGGUGUCCCAGGGAACCCCACCCACCCCAUGGGCCUUAGGAGAGGCUGCAGCUGCAGUUUUAGCUCACACUCUCCCCGACUCAGAGGUUCCCAUUAAUCUCUUUGUUUUAGCUUUGUGAGUCCGGUGACCAGUGUUCCAAGAAUUUGGAUAUUUCCAAGACACCACUCAAUAGGUCAGAGGAAUGGUGUCAGCUGUUGGCUGACCAUUUAAGAACCCCAACUUUGCUGGUAUCUGCUAAUUUCUGAGCAUGCGACUUCUACUCUGAGGGGUCGAAGAACUUUACUCCAGGGGGUGUAAUGUCCGUGGCCCUCGCCCCAAGGGCCGAGUCCAGGAGUCAAGCUCCAAGGCCCUCCUGUUUCUGUGAGGCUGGAUAGUCUGGGGCUGGCCAAGCCUGGCACGUCAGGUCACCGUGACACUCUAGAGCAGGAGCUGGGACCGCUGGCCAAGGCCAGGGGGCUGCUGUACUGGGUGGUCAUCAGACCCCGGGCCCCCGGGCUGGGGACCUUCUUCAGGGACUGUAGGGGCCCUGCACGAAUCUUUGACCCCCUGCCCUGGGGUCACCUUCUGCAAUACAUACUGUUCACCUUCACGGCCAAGACCCUUCCAGGAAAUUUGGAAGGAAAUUGGCUUCAGUGGAACAGCAGCCUGUGACCUAAAAGCCAUUGACUCCACAAGAUACAAGCCGAAAACACAAUUCUUUUCUCUGGAAGCAGGAAGUAAAUUCUCAAGAGACCCUAUUAUUUUCUGAUGACUGCCUCUUUGGAAACAGUACAACUUGGGUUUUUUCGUGUAAGAAACAUGAAUAGUGUCUUUGGUUUGCUGAACUUCCAUUAAAACUCAAUAAAACACCACGAUGGGAAACUGCCUAUGGCUUU
rnacentral:lncRNA from 1 species